GUAAGCUACUAAGAGCGAAUGGUGGAUGCCUUGACUGGUAAAGGCGAUGAAGGACGUACUAGACUGCGAUAAGCUACGGGGAGCUGUCAAGAAGCUUUGAUCCGUAGAUUUCCGAAUGGGGCAACCCAAUGUAUAGAGAUAUACAUUACCUAUAUAGGAGCGAACGAGGGGAAUUGAAACAUCUUAGUACCCUCAGGAAAAGAAAUCAAUAGAGAUUGCGUCAGUAGCGGCGAGCGAAAGCGCAAGAGGGCAAACCCAGUGCUUGCACUGGGGGUUGUAGGACUGCAAUGUGCAAGAGGUAAGUUUAGCAGAACAUUCUGGAAAGUAUAACCAUAGAGGGUGAUAGUCCCGUAUGCGAAAAACAAACCUUAGCUAGCAGUAUCCUGAGUAGGGCGGGACACGAGGAAUCCUGUCUGAAUCCGGGUCGACCACGAUCCAACCCUAAAUACUAAUACCAGAUCGAUAGUGCACAAGUACCGUGAGGGAAAGGUGAAAAGAACUGAGGUGAUCAGAGUGAAAUAGAACCUGAAACCAUUUGCUUACAAUCAUUCAGAGCCCUAUGUAGCAAUACAGGGUGAUGGACUGCCUUUUGCAUAAUGAGCCUGCGAGUUGUGGUGUCUGGCAAGGUUAAGCAAACGCGAAGCCGUAGCGAAAGCGAGUCUGAAUAGGGCGCUUAGUCAGAUGCUGCAGACCCGAAACGAAGUGAUCUAUCCAUGAGCAAGUUGAAGCUAGUGUAAGAACUAGUGGAGGACUGAACCCAUAGGCGUUGAAAAGCCCCGGGAUGACUUGUGGAUAGGGGUGAAAGGCCAAUCAAACUUCGUGAUAGCUGGUUCUCUCCGAAAUAUAUUUAGGUAUAGCGUUGUGUCGUAAUAUAAGGGGGUAGAGCACUGAAUGGGCUAGGGCAUACACCAAUGUACCAAACCCUAUCAAACUCCGAAUACCUUAUAUGUAAUCACAGCAGUCAGGCGGCGAGUGAUAAAAUCCGUCGUCAAGAGGGAAACAACCCAGACUACCAGCUAAGGUCCCUAAAUCUUACUUAAGUGGAAAACGAUGUGAAGUUACUUAAACAACCAGGAGGUUGGCUUAGAAGCAGCCAUCCUUUAAAGAAAGCGUAAUAGCUCACUGGUCUAGUGAUUUUGCGCGGAAAAUAUAACGGGGCUAAAGUAAGUACCGAAGCUGUAGACUUGCACACAACUUAGAUUAUUUAAGUUUAGAAUAUGAGAAACUAAGUUAUAUGUUUAGUUAUAUUUUUACUGAUUUUUAUAGAGUAAAGAUAGAAAUAAAACUUAGUAAAAUCAGUAAAAAUAUUCUUAGACUAAAGUUAAGUAGUUUAAGUUGUGUGCAAGUGGUAGGAGAGCGUUCUAUUUGCGUCGAAGGUAUACCGGUAAGGAGUGCUGGAGCGAAUAGAAGUGAGCAUGCAGGCAUGAGUAGCGAUAAUUAAUGUGAGAAUCAUUAACGCCGUAAACCCAAGGUUUCCUACGCGAUGCUCGUCAUCGUAGGGUUAGUCGGGUCCUAAGUCGAGUCCGAAAGGGGUAGACGAUGGCAAAUUGGUUAAUAUUCCAAUACCAACAUUAGUGUGCGAUGGAAGGACGCUUAGGGCUAAGGGGGCUAGCGGAUGGAAGUGCUAGUCUAAGGUCGUAGGAGGUUGUACAGGCAAAUCCGUAUAACAAUACUCCGAGAACUGAAAGGCUUUUUGAAGUCUUCGGAUGGAUAGAAGAACCCCUGAUGCCGUCGAGCCAAGAAAAGUUUCUAAGUUUAGCUAAUGUUGCCCGUACCGUAAACCGACACAGGUGGGUGGGAUGAGUAUUCUAAGGCGCGUGGAAGAACUCUCUUUAAGGAACUCUGCAAAAUAGCACCGUAUCUUCGGUAUAAGGUGUGGUUAGCUUUGUAUUAGGAUUUACUCCGAAAGCAAGGAAACUUACAACAAAGAGUCCCUCCCGACUGUUUACCAAAAACACAGCACUCUGCUAACUCGUAAGAGGAUGUAUAGGGUGUGACGCCUGCCCGGUGCUCGAAGGUUAAUUGAUGGGGUUAGCAUUAGCGAAGCUCUUGAUCGAAGCCCGAGUAAACGGCGGCCGUAACUAUAACGGUCCUAAGGUAGCGAAAUUCCUUGUCGGUUAAAUACCGACCUGCAUGAAUGGCGUAACGAGAUGGGAGCUGUCUCAAAGAGGGAUCCAGUGAAAUUGUAGUGGAGGUGAAAAUUCCUCCUACCCGCGGCAAGACGGAAAGACCCCGUGGACCUUUACUACAGCUUGACACUGCUACUUGGAUAAGAAUGUGCAGGAUAGGUGGGAGGCUUUGAGUAUAUGACGCCAGUUGUAUAUGAGCCAUUGUUGAGAUACCACUCUUUCUUAUUUGGGUAGCUAACCAGCUUGAGUUAUCCUCAAGUGGGACAAUGUCUGGUGGGUAGUUUGACUGGGGCGGUCGCCUCCCAAAUAAUAACGGAGGCUUACAAAGGUUGGCUCAGAACGGUUGGAAAUCGUUCGUAGAGUAUAAAGGUAUAAGCCAGCUUAACUGCAAGACAUACAAGUCAAGCAGAGACGAAAGUCGGUCUUAGUGAUCCGGUGGUUCUGUGUGGAAGGGCCAUCGCUCAAAGGAUAAAAGGUACCCCGGGGAUAACAGGCUGAUCUCCCCCAAGAGCUCACAUCGACGGGGAGGUUUGGCACCUCGAUGUCGGCUCAUCGCAUCCUGGGGCUGGAGCAGGUCCCAAGGGUAUGGCUGUUCGCCAUUUAAAGCGGUACGCGAGCUGGGUUCAGAACGUCGUGAGACA
rnacentral:rRNA from 1 species